rnacentral:rRNA from 1 species
UCUUGAGUAUGGUUGAGGCAGGCGGAAUGUGUGGUGUAGCGGUGAAAUGCUUAGAUAUCACACAGAACACCGAUUGCGAAGGCAGCUUGCUAAGCUAUAACUGACGCUGAGGCACGAAAGCGUGGGUAUCAAACAGGAUUAGAUACCCUGGUAGUCCACGCUGUAAACGAUGAUAACUCGUUGUUUGCGAUACACAGCCGGUGACCAAGCGAAAGCGUUAAGUAAUCCACCUGGGGAGUACGCCGGCAACGGUGAAACUCAAAGGAAUUGACGGGGGCCCGCACAAGCGGAGGAACAUGUGGUUUAAUUCGAUGAUACGCGAGGAACCUUACCCGGGAUUGAAA